rnacentral:rRNA from 1 species
CAGUAGCCGCGGUAAUACGGAGGGAGCUAGCGUUGUUCGGAAUUACUGGGCGUAAAGCGUGCGUAGGUGGUGGUUUAAGUCCGUUGUGAAAGCCCUGGGCUCAACCUGGGAAUUGCAGUGGAUACUGGGUCACUAGAGUGUGGUAGAGGAUAGUGGAAUUUCCGGUGUAGCAGUGAAAUGCGUAGAGAUCGGAAGGAACAUCUGUGGCGAAGGCGACUAUCUGGGCCAACACUGACACUGAGGCACGAAAGCGUGGGGAGCAAACAGGAUUAGAUACCCCCGUAGUCCCUGUCUCUUAUAC